rnacentral:rRNA from 1 species
AGAGUUGAUCCUGGCUCAGGAUGAACGCUAGCGAUAGGCUUAACACAUGCAAGUCGAGGGGCAGCACGGUGUAGCAAUACACUGGUGGCGACCGGCGUACGGGUGCGUAACACGUAUGCAACCUACCCGCUAUUGGGGGAUAACCCGGCGAAAGUCGGACUAAUACCCCAUAUUAUUCUUACCGGGCAUCCGGUAGGUCUGAAAGAUUUAUCGAUUGCGGAUGGGCAUGCGGAUGAUUAGCUAGUAGGUGGGGUAACGGCUCACCUAGGCGACGAUCAUUAGGGGUUCUGAGAGGAAGGUCCCCCACACUGGAACUGAGACACGGUCCAGACUCCUACGGGAGGCAGCAGUGAGGAAUAUUGGUCAAUGGGCGCUAGCCUGAACCAGCCAAGUCGCGUGAAGGAUGACAGAUCUAUGGUUUGUAAACUUCUUUUGCAGGGGAGUAAAGUGCGACACGUGUGUUGUAUUGCAAGUACCCUGCGAAUAAGCAUCGGCUAACUCCGUGCCAGCCGCUGC